CCCUUAGAUGUUCUGGGCUGCACGCGCGCUACACUGAAGCUAUCAACACGUUUUCCCUCCCUGAGAAGGGCGGGUAACCUUUUGAAUCAGCUUCGUGGUAGGGAUCGGGGCUUGCAAUUGUUCCCCGUGAACCAGGAAUUCCUAGUAGACGCGAGUCAUAAGCUCGCAUCGAUUAAGUCCCUGCCCUUUGUACACACCGCCCGUCGCUACUACCGAUUGAACGUUUUAGUGAGGCAUUUGGACCGACGCAUCUCAGUGUAACCGCUGGUUUGUGUUGGAAAGACUUCCAAACUUGAGCGUUUAGAGGAAGUAAAAGUCGUAACA
rnacentral:rRNA from 1 species